GAGAUUCUAGUAAAAUAAUUACACCACCUUGUCAAGGUGGAAUUGUGAGUGAAAAUCCCACGAAUCUUA
rnacentral:tRNA from 1 species